rnacentral:lncRNA from 1 species
AUUUAUAUGAUAAGAAUGAAAAACAUCUUGAAUACAUUAUCAAAGAAACCUGUAAGAAAGAAAGAGAGAUUCAGAUAAGUGAAAUAUAAGAAUGGAAAAUAAAUGAAGAAAUGAUGAUAAUAAGGAAAGGAAAUUGGAAGUGUGUUGUGGUGAUUAAUUUGUGUAGUCUCUUAUUAAUGAAGAUUCGAGAAAAGCUUCGAAGAGAAGAAGAUGAUAGGCGAAAGAAUGAUGGGAAACGUGAUAUGGUAAUGG